CACACAGGUCUGGUCCUGGCCUUAAGAUCAAUUUUUUCUUAACUUACACAUGCAAGUCUCCGCACCCCCGUGAAAACGCCCUCUUGCCCACCUAGGAGCGAGGAGCUGAUAUCAGGCAAAACAAAUUUCCCAAGACAUCUAGCCAUGCCACACCCCCAAGGGCCCCAGCAGUGAUUAACAUUAAAAAUAAACGUCAGUUUGAUUUAGCUAAUGAAAAUAGAGCCGGCCAAUCUGGUGCCAGCCGCCGCGGUUACACCACGUGACUCAAAUUGAUCUCGCCCGGCGUAAAGCGUGAUUAAAGAUACGGACACUGAGGUUUAACCUGAACUAAACUGUAAUACGCCUGUUCCCGGGAAAACCAAUUCGAAAGAUACCUCAACUCACCCACUUGAACUCACUAUAACUGGGACACAAACUGGGAUUAGAUACCCCACUAUGCCCAGUCGUAAACUUUUAACUUACCCCCUCCCCUCGCCAGGGAACUACGAGCAAAGCUUAAAACCCAAAGGACUUGACGGUGCCCCAAAUCCUUCUAGAGGAGCCUGUCCUGUAAUCGAUACCCCACGCUAAACCUUACCAUUUUUAGCUUUUUCAGCCUGUAUACUUCCGUCUCCAGCUUACCGCCUGAGCGCAAAUAAGUAAGCUCAAUGUCUUCACCAAUACGUCAGGUCAAAGUGCAGCAAAUAAAAUGGUUUGAGAUGGGCUACACUUUCUACUUUAGAAAACACGAAAAUUUAUAAGAAACAAUAAAUAGAAGGCGGAUUUAGCAGUAAAAAGUAAAUAGAAUAUCCUUUUUAACACGGCACUGGAGCGUGUACACACCGCCCGUCACCCUCUUCGCAUAAUCAUAUCAGUUUUUAACAACUUCUUUAAAAAAGAAGAGGUAAGUCGUAACAUGGUAAGUAUACCGGAAGGUGUGCUUGGAAA
rnacentral:ncRNA from 1 species